GUUUAGAUAGUUUAAAUAAAACGUUGGUUUGUGGCACCAAAAAUAUGAAUAUUAUUCAUUUUAAACC
rnacentral:tRNA from 1 species